UCCGUAGGCGGGCGUCUAAGUCAGUGGUGAAAUCUUACAGCUCAACUGUAAAAUUGCCUUUGAUACUGGAUUUCUUGAAUUAAUGUGAAGUGGUUAGAAUGUGUAGUGUAGCGGUGAAAUGCAUAGAUAUUACACAGAAUACCAAUUGCGAAGGCAGAUCACUAACAUUAUAUUGACGCUGAGGGACGAAAGCGUGGGGAGCGAACAGGAUUAGAUACCCUGGUAGUCC
rnacentral:rRNA from 1 species